AUUGAACGCUGGCGGCAUGCCUUACGCAUGCAAGUCGAACGGUAACGGGCCUUCGGGUGCCGACGAGUGGCGCACGGGUGAGUAAUACAUCGGAACGUGCCCGAUCGUGGGGGAUAACGAGGCGAAAGCUUUGCUAAUACCGCAUACGAUCUACGGAUGAAAGCAGGGGACCGCAAGGCCUUGCGCGGACGGAGCGGCCGAUGGCAGAUUAGGUAGUUGGUGGGAUAAAAGCUUACCAAGCCGACGAUCUGUAGCUGGUCUGAGAGGAUGAUCAGCCACACUGGGACUGAGACACGGCCCAGACUCCUACGGGAGGCAGCAGUGGGGAAUUUUGGACAAUGGGCGCAAGCCUGAUCCAGCCAUGCCGCGUGCAGGAUGAAGGCCUUCGGGUUGUAAACUGCUUUUGUACGGAACGAAAAGCCUUCUUUUAAUACAGGAGGGUCAUGACGGUACCGUAAGAAUAAGCACCGGCUAACUACGUG
rnacentral:rRNA from 1 species